UGUGCCAGCAGCCGCGGUAAUACAGAGGGUGCAAGCGUUAAUCGGAUUUACUGGGCGUAAAGCGUGCGUAGGCGGCUAAUUAAGUCGGAUGUGAAAUCCCCGAGCUCAACUUGGGAAUUGCAUUCGAUACUGGUUAGCUAGAGUAUGGGAGAGGAUGGUAGAAUUCCAGGUGUAGCGGUGAAAUGCGUAGAGAUCUGGAGGAAUACCGAUGGCGAAGGCAGCCAUCUGGCCUAAUACUGACGCUGAGGUACGAAAGCAUGGGGAGCAAACAGGAUUAGAUUCCCUGGUCGUCCAUGCCGUAAACGAUGUCUACUCGCCGUUGGGGCCUUUUGAGGCUUUAGUGGCGCAGCUAACGCGAUAAGUAGACCGCGUGGGGAGUACGGUCGCAAGACUAAAACUCAAAUGAAUUGACGGGGGCCCGCACAAGCGGUGGAGCAUGUGGUUUAAUUCGAUGCAACGCGAAGAACCUUACCUGGUUUUGACAUAGUAAGAACUUUCCAGAGAUGGAUUGGUGCCUUCGGGAACUUACAUACAGGUGCUGCAUGGCUGUCGUCAGCUCGUGUCGUGAGAUGUUGGGUUAAGUCCCGCAACGAGCGCAACCCUUUUCCUUAUUUGCCAGCGGGUUAAGCCGGGAACUUUAAUGAUACUGCCAGUGACAAACUGGAGGAAGGCGGGGACGACGUCAAGUCAUCAUGGCCCUUACGACCAGGGCUACACACGUGCUACAAUGGUCGGUACAAAGGGUUGCUACAUAGCGAUAUGAUGCUAAUCUCAAAAAGCCGAUCGUAGUCCGGAUUGGAGUCUGCAACUCGACUCCAUGAAGUCGGAAUCGCUAGUAGUCGCGGAUCAGAAUGCCGCGGUGAAUACGUUCCCGGGCCUUGUACACACCGCCCGUCACACCAUGGGAGUUUGUUGCACCAGAAGUGGGUAGGAUAACCGUAAGGAGUCCGCUCACCACGGUGUGGCCAAUGACUGGGGUGAAGUCGUAACAAGGUAACCGA
rnacentral:rRNA from 1 species